GGGAUGAGUUCUCACUAUUGUUGCCCCGGCUGGUCUCGAACUCCUGGGCUCAAGCAAUCUUCCCACCUUGGCCUCCCAAAGUCCUGCGAUUACAGAUGUGAGCCACUAUGCCUGGCCUAUUAUUGCUGUAUUCUAACUUAUCCAUUCUAUUCUAACGUAUCUCUUAUGGUACGAUUUUUUUGUUUUUUCUAAUUUAUGUUUUCAUACAUUUAUAUAUCGUGCUAUGUUAAAUAGCUUCGUAUAGUUGUCUUUCAUUCAGUGAUUUUAGCCUCCUGAUGAUCUUCUCUAUCAGUUAUGGCACUGGUGACUUAAAAUGAAUGUUCUUCCUCUGUCAUUCCUCCUACAUUUGUUAGCUGGCAUCUUUAACAACAAGCUUUCACUUCUCCUCUUUAUUUCAGUAUCACUGCUGACUAAUGCACUUGCGUUUUAUUCCAUGCAUUUUCCAUCACCAUCAUUGUUCUUUCUGAUGCCUGUGCUGUCCCAGAUUCGGCCGUGGGAGCCUUCAGCUUGUCUCCUGUGUCCUUUCAACUGUCUCUGUUAGUCUUUGAGCAUUUCUUACUUUCUGACAGAAGAGGAUCCAGGCUCAUUUUGCCCUCUUCCUGCCUUGGGCCUGGACUCAGCCAUUUCUCUUAAGGAUCAUGUGUUUUUAGCUUAGAAAUUAAUCAGCUUUCCAAAAGAUUUAAAAAACACUAACUUCCCUUUUGAGCAAUUUUUUUCUAAAAUUAGAUGUUUUUUUAAAAGGAUUAUUCCUUUAUUCUCUCUAUAAGUUCUUUUGAAGUGUGGCAUUAGGGAACCAUGCCUGAGUUUGGUUAUUAACUCUUCCAUUGUUUAUCAGAUCACUUUUUCCCUGCGCUAUGUCAUCUUAAACAUGUUAAACAAUUCCUUGACAUUUUCUAUUUCUUUGUAUUUUCAUUGACUAUAUUGCCAUUUCUAGGUUGGCUGAUUAAUGCACAAAUUGAAGUAUUUUGCAUUUCCUUGGUAAUUUAGGCUGUUGAUGUCAGAGGAGGAAAAACAAAUGGGCUUGAAAACUGGUUGAAUGCAUUGGAAAGCCAUUUUUGGAGAUGAUUCUAAACUGGCCUCUAAAGCUGGAAGGUGAAAUAACAGUUGAAAAUAAUGACAUGUAUAAGGUGUGUUUGGAAGAUUGCAGAUGCAGGGGCACCGUACUGCUGAAGGAGUGUUGGAAGCUCACUACAGAAGAUCAUAAAAGCAGACUGAUGUGUAUUACUUGCUGAAAUAUAAACUGGAGGCACAGGUGAAGAUUACUAAACCUAAUGAGCAGUUUGGCAGAUAAGACAGGCUGUCAGGCCGUGGCAGUUCAGCAGUGGGCGUGCUGCCUGUGAACCAAGUCAUUUGUUCCAGAGGACUACACUUGAAUACCACAAAUAAAAUUUUCCUUGUCACUGAUAUUUGGUAUCACAA